rnacentral:rRNA from 1 species
GACAGAGGCCUCGAGCGUUAGGCGGAAUCACUGGGCUUAAAGCGUGUGUAGGCGGGCCCGUAAGUGUCUUGUGAAAUCCCACGGCUCAACCGUGGAAGUGCCUCUGAUACUUCAGGCCUCGAGGGAGGUAGGGGCGUGCGGAACUUCCGGUGGAGCGGUGAAAUGCGUAGAUAUCGGAAGGAACGUCGGUGGCGAAAGCGGCGCGCUGGACCUCUUCUGACGCUGAGGCGCGAAAGCCAGGGGAGCGAACGGG